ensembl:lncRNA
GGACUCUACUGGACUCUUCUGAACUCUACUGGACUCUACUGGACUCUACUGGACUCUACUGGACUCUACUGGACUCUACUGGACUCUACUGGACUCUACUGGACUCUACUGGACUCUACUGACUCUACUGGACUCUACUGGACUCUACUGGACUCUACUGGACUCUUCUGGACUCUACUGGACUCUACUGAACUCUACUGGACUCUACUGGACUCUACUGGACUCUUCUGAACUCUACUGGACUCUACUGGACUCUACUGGACUCUACUGGACUCUACGGGACUCUACUGGACUCUACUGGACUCUACGGGACUCUACUGGACUCUACUGGACUCUACUUUGCUGUCUUGUGAUCUUGUGAAACAUGUAGAUGUUGAUGAUUGGUUCAGAUUUGGGUCGAUUCGUACCAACCAAAUGUGGUCUUGUUUUGGGCAGGGGGAUAAAUCACAAGGAACACAUCACAUAUCCAUAAUGAUGUAUUUUUGUACAGGGAGAAAUGACGUCUUUCUGUUAACGUCAUUGUGCUACGGUGUUAAUCCUCUUCAACAACCAAGAGCUAGAUGGAUAUUUUUCUAACUCAAGGUGUCAUGUCAUAGCUGAUUUUUUUCUGCAGACACUUUUGAAUCUUAAUUCAGAAUAGAUAUUUAAGCGUUUUUGGGAAAACUUAGUCACAUAAAAGAUUUUACUGUAAUUCUGUUAUGAAACUACAUCCUCACUGUUCUUCAGGUAAACAAGCAAGUAGGAAGUAGGAAGUAGGAAGUAGGGAAGUAGGAAGUAGGAAGUAGGUUAUAGUAACUGGGGCGACAGGUAGCCUCGUGGUUAGUUGUGUUUUUGUGACAUUUUCAGUGGAAAUUGUUAAAAGUCGUCUUUGUAUAUAGAGUUGGAUGGUUUGUUAAAAUUUGCAAUCAAUGUUUUUUUUUGCUUGGCAUCCAUUUUAAGGUGCUCAGAACUAAGCAGCAUUCCCAUCUCUAAGAGAGAGGUUUGUAGCCUGUGAGAGGGAGGAAGAGAGAGAGAGAGGAAGAGAGAGGGAGGAAGAGAGAGAGAGAG